rnacentral:rRNA from 1 species
GACGAACGCUGGCGGCGUGCUUAACACAUGCAAGUCGAGCGGUAAGGCCCUUUCGGGGUACGACGAGCGGCGAACGGGUGAGUAACACGUGGGUGACCUGCCCUCAGCUCUGGGAUAAGCCUGGGAAACCGGGUCUAAUACUGGAUAUGACUCCAUGACGCAUGUUGUGGGGUGGAAAGCCUUGUGCGGCUGAGGAUGGGCCCGCGGCCUAUCAGCUUGUUGGUGGGGUGAGGCCUACCAAGGCGACGACGGGUAGCCGGCCUGAGAGGGCGACCGGCCACACUGGGACUGAGACACGGCCCAGACUCCUACGGGAGGCAGCAGUGGGGAAUCUUGCGCAAUGGGCGAAAGCCUGACGCAGCGACGCCGCGUGAGGGAUGACGGCCUCGGUUGUAAC